UACAGAGGGUGCGAGCGUUGUUCGGAAUUAUUGGGCGUAAAGGGCGCGUAGGCGGUGCCACAAGUCACUUGUGAAAUCUCCGGGCUUAACUCGGAGCCUGCAGGCGAAACUGUGGUGCUGGAGUGUGGGAGAGGUGCGUGGAAUUCCCGGUGUAGCGGUGAAAUGCGUAGAUAUCUGGAGGAACACCGGUGGCGAAGGCGGCAUCCUGGACCGACACUGACGCUGAGGAGCGAAAGCCAGGGGAGCAAACGGG
rnacentral:rRNA from 1 species